rnacentral:ncRNA from 1 species
GCGUCCGCCUGAAUCUUCGGGCCUUUCUGCUGUAAAGUAGAUAGCAAAGCGGGUGAAUUCGGGGAACAUCAGCGUAAUCUGACAAUCCCGAGCCAAGCCCAGCAGAGCAACGACUAACAGCCAACGAAUAACAAACAACGAAAUGCAGGUGCAUUCAGUUGUAAGCUAGUAGUUGGAGGUUGGAUGUUCGCGAAGCGGGAAGGUGUAGAGACUAUCCCUUCGGGGAGUAGCCGAGUAAGAAAUUACUUUAGGCGAAGCGCCUGCCAUCCUCAUCGCCAAUCGGCGGACGGAUGAUGAUAUAGUCCACAAUCGUUCGGAAGAGCGGU